rnacentral:lncRNA from 1 species
CUCCCCAACACACACACAAAAAAAAAUAAAACAAAGAAAGAAAAGGAAAAAAUCAAAACAAAACAAAACACAACAAAGCCUAGCCUAGCCUGUAACAGAUGCAGUUGCUUGUCCAUAAAAAAUUUCAGCAGUUGCUUGUCCAUAAAAAAUUUCAGUGGGUGCAGUUGUUGUCCUUCCAUCACAAAAGUACCUGAGGAAAACUUUCUUACCUGUGGCAAGCAGCUAAUGUAUCCCAAGCUUGGUACCAAAUCCCUACAAAU